UCGGUCUCUAUCUAUCGUGGGCGUAAGAUAUUUGCGGGGUCCUGACACUAGUACGAGAGGACCGUGUUGGACGAACCCCUGAUGUACCGGUUGUUCCGCCAGGAGCAUAGCCGGGUAGUUAAGUUCGGAUAGGAUAAGUGCUGAAAGCAUCUAAGUACGAAGCCUGCCCUAAGAUUAGAUAUCUAUGAGGGUCGUUGUAGACUACGACGUUGAUAGGCUGCAAGUGUAAAGGCAGUAAUGUCAAAGCUGAGCAGUACUAAUUGCCCGAAACUUUUUUAAA
rnacentral:rRNA from 1 species